rnacentral:misc_RNA from 1 species
UCCGAGUUGACCCCGGCAGUCUCCCAUGAGUCCCCGGCAUAACCCGCUGGCAACAUGCGACGGGGGUUGCGCUCGUUGCGGGACUUAACCCAACAUCUCACGACACGAGCUGACGACAGCCAUGCACCACCUGUGAUCCUGCCCACAAGGGGAAACCGUGUUUCCACGGCGGUCAGGAACAUGUCAAGCCUAGGUAAGGUUCUUCGCGUUGCGUCGAAUUAAACCACAUGCUCCACCGCUUGUGCGGGCCCCCGUCAAUUCCUUCGAGUUUCAGCCUUGCGGCCGUACUCCCCAGGCGGGGAACUUAAUGCGUUAGCGCCGGCACUGACGGGAUCAGUACCGCCAGCACCUAGUGCCCAUCGUUUACGGCGUGGACUAC